UCACAUAGAGCAUCAUCUUGACAGCUUUGAAUUCCUUAAAGCCAUUUUGAACUGAGUGUUAUCUUCAAGUCUGACAACUGUGUCAACCUGCCUGGAUACUAGUCAAGCCAUAAGAAUGCAGAGCAGACUGAAGUAAAGAGUCAGUGAAAGACUGUCAAGUUUGCAACCCAUCUCAUAAGACAGGUAGAAGAUAUGUUGAUUAUUCUAAAUAGGAAAAAAUAAAGGUGUCCAUUGUGCACUGCC